AUUGAACGCUGGCGGCAUGCUUCACACAUGCAAGUCGAACGGUAACAGGCCGCAAGGUGCUGACGAGUGGCGAACGGGUGGGUAAUGCAUCGGAACGUGCCCAGUCGUGGGGGAUAACGCAGCGAAAGCUGCGCUAAUACCGCAUACGAUCUAUGGAUGAAAGCGGGGACCGUAAGGCCUCGCGCGAUUGGAGCGGCCGAUGUCAGAUUAGGUAGUUGGUGGGGUAAAGGCUCACCAAGCCAACGAUCUGUAGCUGGUCCGAGAGGACGACCAGCCACACUGGGACUGAGACACGGCCCAGACUCCUACGGGAGGCAGCAGUGGGGAAUUUUGGACAAUGGGCGCAAGCCUGAUCCAGCAAUGCCGCGUGCAGGAAGAAGGCCUUCGGGUUGUAAACUGCUUUUGUACGGAACGAAACGGCUCUGGUUAAUACCUGGGGCUAAUGACGGUACCGUAAGAAUAAGCACCGGCUAACUACGUGCCAGCAGCCGCGGUAACAC
rnacentral:rRNA from 1 species